rnacentral:rRNA from 1 species
UACGUAGGGUGCAAGCGUUGUCCGGAAUUAUUGGGCGUAAAGAGCUCGUAGGCGGUUUGUCGCGUCUGCUGUGAAAUCUGGAGGCUCAACCUCCAGCCUGCAGUGGGUACGGGCAGACUAGAGUGCGGUAGGGGAGAUUGGAACUCCUGGUGUAGCGGUGGAUGCGCAGAUAUCAGGAAGAACACCGAUGGCGAAGGCAGAUCUCUGGGCCGUAACUGACGCUGGAGGAGCGAAAGCAUGGGGAGCGAACAGG